AUUGAACGCUGGCGGCAUGCCUUACACAUGCAAGUCGAACGGUAACGCGGGGCAACCUGGCGACGAGUGGCGAACGGGUGAGUAAAGCAUCGGAACGUGCCCAGUAGUGGGGGAUAGCCCGGCGAAAGCCGGAUUAAUACCGCAUACGACCUAUGGGUGAAAGGGGGGGAUCGCAAGACCUCUCGCUAUUGGAGCGGCCGAUGUCAGAUUAGGUAGUUGGUGGGGUAAAGGCCUACCAAGCCGACGAUCUGUAGCUGGUCUGAGAGGACGACCCGGCACACUGGGACUGAGACACGGCCCAGACUCGUACGGGAGGCAGCAGUGGGGAAUUUUGGACAAUGGGCGCAAGCCUGAUCCAGCCAUGCCGCGUGCGGGAAGAAGGCCUUCGGGUUGUAAACCGCUUUUGUCAGGGAAGAAGUCCUUUGGGUUAAUACCUCGGGGGGAUGACGGUACCUGAAGAAUAAGCACCGGCUAACUACGUGCCAGCCGCCGCAGUAA
rnacentral:rRNA from 1 species